UCUCCGUUGGUGAACCAGCGGAGGGAUCAUUACAGUACUCGCAUGACUCCAACAACCCUGUAAACUUAACUAUAAGCACGUUGCUUCGGCGGGUGCCUCAGAGGCGGUUCUCCCUCCCCGACACCCUAACCCCGCCGGCAGCCAACCAUACUCUGUCUGUUUGCGUUGGCAUCUAGAGUAAAAUCCAACAAGUUAAAACUUUCAACAACGGAUCUCUUGGUUCUG
rnacentral:misc_RNA from 1 species